UACGGGGGAUGCAAGCGUUAUCCGGAAUUAUUGGGCGUAAAGCGUCCGCAGGUGGUUAAUCAAGUUUGUUGUUAAAGAGCGGAGCUUAACUCCGUGGAGGCGAUGAAAACUGAUUGACUAGAGUUAGGUAGGGGUAAGAGGAAUUCCCAGUGUAGCGGUGAAAUGCGUAGAUAUUGGGAAGAACACCGGCGGCGAAAGCGUCUUACUGGGCCUGAACUGACACUGAGGGACGAAAGCUAGGGGAGCGAAAGGG
rnacentral:rRNA from 1 species